rnacentral:sRNA from 1 species
UCUGAAAUUUUUGUUUUUGAUAAAUUUCUGAAUCAUGAAGCAGAAAUGGAAGCAUUAAAUUGCUUCAUGUUCUUUUAUACCA